rnacentral:rRNA from 1 species
GAUGAACGCUGGCGGCGUGCCUAAUACAUGCAAGUCGAGCGAACGGACGAGAAGCUUGCUUCUCUGAUGUUAGCGGCGGACGGGUGAGUAACACGUGGAUAACCUACCUAUAAGACUGGGAUAACUUCGGGAAACCGUAGCUAAUACCGGAUAAUAUUUUGAACCGCAUGGUUCAAAAGUGAAAGACGGUCUUGCUGUCACUUAUAGAUGGAUCCGCGCUGCAUUAGCUAGUUGGUAAGGUAACGGCUUACCAAGGCAACGAUGCAUAGCCGACCUGAGAGGGGGGUCGGCCACCGUGGACCGGAGACCGGUACCAGCAACCAAGGGGGGGAGGAAGAGGGAAUUCUUCGGAAAGGGCGGAAGGCCGAAAGGAGCAACGCGGGGGGGGGGUUGAAGGUUUUCGGAUCGAAAACUUCUUUUAUGGGGGAAAAAAAUAUGGUAAAGUACCUGUACACAUCUUGACGUUACCUAAUCAGAAGCCCAGGGCUAGCUAGGAG